rnacentral:rRNA from 1 species
AGGGAUAACUCCGGGAAACCGGAGCUAAUACCGGAUAGUUCCUUGAACCGCAUGGUUCAAGGAUGAAAGACGGUUUCGGCUGUCACUUACAGAUGGACCCGCGGCGCAUUAGCUAGUUGGUGGGGUAAUGGCUCACCAAGGCGACGAUGCGUAGCCGACCUGAGAGGGUGAUCGGCCACACUGGGACUGAGACACGGCCCAGACUCCUACGGGAGGCAGCAGUAGGGAAUCUUCCGCAAUGGACGAAAGUCUGACGGAGCAACGCCGCGUGAGUGAUGAAGGUUUUCGGAUCGUAAAGCUCUGUUGUUAGGGAAGAACAAGUGCGAGAGUAACUGCUCGCACCUUGACGGUACCUAACCAGAAAGCCACGGCUAACUACGUGCCAGCAGCCGCGGUAAUACGUAGGUGGCAAGCGUUGUCCGGAAUUAUUGGGCGUAAAGGGCUCGCAGGCGGUUUCUUAGGUCUGAUGUGAAAGCCCCCGGCUCAACCGGGGAGGGUCAUUGGAA